rnacentral:ncRNA from 2 species
AUGCGUCUUCAGGGCGGGGCGAAAUUCCCCACCGGCGGUAAGCCGGCUUUGUGCCGGCGAGCCCGCGAGCGCCCGUGUCGCGGCCUUCAGUCGGGCUGCGGCGCGGGGUCAGCAGAUCUGGUGCGAUGCCAGGGCCGACGGUCAUAGUCCGGAUGGAAGAAGAUGCAA